rnacentral:rRNA from 1 species
GCAUAUCAAUAAGCGGAGGAAAAGAAACCAACAGGGAUUGCCUCAGUAACGGCGAGUGAAGCGGCAAGAGCUCAACUUUGGAAUCGCUCCGGCGAGUUGUAGUCUGGAGGUGGCCACCACGAGGUGUUCUAGCAGCAGGCAAGUCCUUUGGAACAAGGCGCCAGCGAGGGUGACAGCCCCGUACCUGCUUUUGCUAGUGCUUCCUGUGGCCCACCGACGAGUCGAGUUGUUUGGGAAUGCAGCUCUAAGUGGGUGGUAAAUUCCAUCUAAGGCUAAAUAUUGGCGAGAGACCGAUAGCGAACAAGUACAGUGAUGGAAAGAUGAAAAGCACUUUGAAAAGAGAGUGAAACAGUACGUGAAAUUGUUGAAAGGGAAGGGCUUGCACCCAGACACGGUUUCGGCCGGGCCAGCAUCAAGUAGAACGGGGUUAAAAGACUUGGGGAAUGUAGCUACUUCGGUAGUGUUAUAGCCCUUGGUGAUGACCCCUGUUUUGCUUGAGGACAGCGGUCUCUAGGAUGCUGGCGCAAUGGUUGCAAGCCACCCGUCUUGAAACACGGACC